GACGAACGCUGGCGGCGUGCUUAACACAUGCAAGUCGAACGGAGAAUUAUUUCGGUAAUUCUUAGUGGCGAACGGGUGAGUAACGCGUAGACAACCUACCUUUUAGAUGGGGACAACAUCGCGAAAGCGGUGCUAAUACCGAAUGUUGAUAAUGAAAUGCAUGUUUCGUUAUUUAAAGAUGGCCUCUAUAUAUAAGCUAUCGCUAAAAGAUGGGUCUGCGUCUGAUUAGCUAGUUGGUGAGAUAACAGCCCACCAAGGCAACGAUCAGUAGCCGGUCUGAGAGGAUGAACGGCCACAUUGGGACUGAGACACGGCCCAAACUCCUACGGGAGGCAGCAGUGGGGAAUCUUCCGCAAUGGACGAAAGUCUGACGGAGCAACGCCGCGUGAGUGAAGAAGGUUUUAGGAUCGUAAAGCUCUGUUGUUUAGGACGAAUGUGCCUUAUGCGAAUAGUAUGAGGUAAUGACGGUACUAAACGAGAAAGCCACGGCUAACUACGUG
rnacentral:rRNA from 1 species